CGCAAGUUCUAGAUUUCUGAGAGAUGAAGAUACUCUCAUGGCUGACUGAAAAAGCUUAUCAUCAUCCAGGUCCUUUGGGGGAAAAUCUCUUUCCCAUUAAUUCAUUCAUUAUAUCAUAGAUGAUGAAAGAUGAUCCCUUUGAAGGGUUUCCAGGCUGAUAAAACAGCUGAAUAAUAUGGUGAUAUGUUGCAAGCGAGGGUUCUAGUCUGAUGGCUUUCAUUUCACAUAGAAUCUGUAAGGCUGGCAAUCUUGCAAGUACAUAAAAUCUUCGGAGACAUUUCAGAAUGGUAUUAAAAGUCUGUAGAUUUGGUUUCACCUUCUGUGCAACCAUUUGUCUUAGCAGCUCCAGUAUAUUAUUCCAUUCUUCCUCAAAUUUCUCAUUUAUCACCAAUACUGUUGCUUCAAUCACUGCAUUAAAUGUGUAUACAUCAGCACAGAGUCUGUUGUUUAGUAACUCAGUGUACAGGUUUAAUGCCUGCUCAUAAGCUUGAUGCUUCACCAUUCCUCGGAUCACUGUGCAAUAGGAAUGUGCAUUUUUCCCUGGCAUUAGAGAAAACAUUCUCUCAGCGUUGUUUUGUGCUCACCAGGUAACUCCAAAUUGAUCACCAGCUUUCCUCCUAGACCUCUUAUUAUUUUCCUCUUCCAAUUCUUCUGACUGUUCAAUUUGUUGAAACUGAUAAUCAGUUGAGGGCUCCUGGUCACCAUAGUAACACAAUAAAUCCAAGAGACUAUAUGUUGUUACAAGAGACACAGUGGUUCCUGCUUGCAAAAGCUCAUCAAACAUGUCCACAGAGACUUUGACUUUUCUGAGCUUGAUUCAUUCCUUGAGAGUGGCUUCACUUAUGUCUUUGAUCUGAGGUUCAAAGUACUCAGGCAUUAAACACAGUGUAUGAGGUUCAGCUAUGUCUUUCUGAAAAUAUUUGGAGUAUGAAUUAAUAAUGAACUUGGCCGUAUUCUCCCCGGAUUUCUUUGCCAGUAAAAAUGAACGAGAUUCUGAAGAGGAAACAAACAGUCAGAAAAGAUACACAGGGCAAGGUAUGUGAGAAGAGGUGUGGAGCUUCCAUGCCCUCUCCAGGAACACUGAAUGUGUUCAGCAAUCUGGAAAGCUAAAAUCUUGUUGUCCAAGAGUUUUUAUAGAGCUUCAUGUCAAGCCAUCCCACCCUUUCCACUUCACAGAGGUUGGUGGGUAGGACUGAAAGUUCCAACUCUCUAAUCUUUCUGGUGACCAGCUUCAUCUUGAGGCUGUCUAGGGUCUCCACCCUAAGCCAUCUCAUUGGUAUAAACUGAGAUGUGAUCAAAAAGUCAUUAAAAAUAACAAAAGACAUUUCAACACACAGGAAAUUCCAAGGGUUUCAGGAGCUCUGUGAUAGAAAUAAGAAAGUCAAGCCUACUUGAG
rnacentral:lncRNA from 10 species